CCGGAGGAAGGUGGGGAUGACGUCAAGUCCUCAUGGCGCUUACGGGUAGGGCUACACACGUGCUACAAUGGCGGUGACAGUGGGCAGCGACACAGCGAUGUGAUGCUAAUCCCAUAAAGCCGUCUCAGUUCAGACUGCAGCCUGCAACUCGGCUGCAUGAAGUUGGAAUCGCUAGUAAUCGCUAAUCAGCAGGUAGCGGUGAAUACGUUCCCGGGCCUUGUACACACCGCCCGUCACACCAUGGGAGUUG
rnacentral:rRNA from 1 species